rnacentral:rRNA from 1 species
UUUUUGGUGAAAGUAAAAAGUAGGGUCUGCCCAGUGAGUAAUUUUAACGGCCGCAAUAUUUGUGCGAAGGUAGCAUAAUCAUUUGUCUUUUAAUUGAUGACUGGAAUGAAUGGCUGGACGGGGAUAAGCUGUCUUAUGUAUAUAUAUUUGAAAUUUACUUUUAAGUAAAAAGGCUUAAAUAUUUUAGAGGGACGAGAAGACCCUAUUGAGUUUAAUAGAAUUUAUUUAAAUUUUUCUUAAAUUUUUAUGUAAUCUAUUUAGUUGGGGAGAUUUGAUAUUGUUAACUAUAUAAGAAUUAAUAGACUUUAAGUUUUUAGGAUCCAUAUUUUAUGAGUGUUAAGGUAAAUUACCUUAGGGAUAACAGCGUAAUAUUUUUUUAGAGUUCAAAUCGAUUAAAAUGAUUACGACCUCGAUGUUGGAUUAAGGAACCUAAUUUGGAGAAGAUUUUAAUUUAGGUAGUCU